CUCAAUAUAAGACGGUGAAGACAAGGGAGAGGAGCAGGAGCAAGAACUGUUGAGAGACCUUACCAUGGACCAGCCCACUCCAGCUGGCUUCUCUUUGUGCAGCUGUGUGAAAGCUGAGUUCUCGGGCAAUGCUGCCCUACAUGAAGAUUCAGAAGGAUUAAAGGAGUGAAGGAGAGCGAAUAAAAAGAGAACAUCUUCCCGUCUUCAUUGUUAGAUGACCUUGUGCCAUGGUGACUGUACAAACUGAAGUCCUAAAAUGAAUGAAGAGCUCUAGAUUCAAGAAUACCCUUCAGGUACUAGAAGGUGCUACAAGGUGUCCUCAGAGCAUUCUCUUCUCCAGGCUGAACAGCCUCCGCUCUCUCAGCCUGUACUCAUACAGGAGAUACUCCAGCCUUCUGACAACCUUUGUGGCCUUCCUGUGAACUCUCUCUAACAGGGCUAAAUCAUUUGAUGAUCUCUGCAGAAGCUUUACCUGUCUUCAUCUUCCUCUAAACCCAGACUAUUGAAAUAAUGUAUCUGAUAGUAGUUUCUUUGUAUACAGAUGUGGUUAGUCAGUCGUUAUUACAGACCAAAUAAAUAUAAUUAAAGUCAAAUUGAAAACAAUGGAAAAGCUGAAAGUUGAAUGCUAUGUUAACCUGCCUUGCUAGCCCAGAUCCUGAAUGAAAUCUUAAAAUUAAGAAGUAUCAUUUGUCUGGCUGUAAUUAUAUUUGACUAAUAGCAGAAAUUUAUUCUUGGUCUCAUUCAUUUUGGAUUAUCCCUAUUUGUAAAAUGAGCAAUUGAAAGGACCUUGAUCAAGAAUUUUUAAAUUUUUAAAUUGUUUGCUUUUUAAUGAGAGAAGAGAGAUCAAACAGUAAGCUAGCUAUACCUUAGAGAAAUGAAUAUGUUAAGGGAGUGCAAUGAUUAGGGAGAUUUUUAUCUGUGGAGAGGAGAGAAAUCUGAAACUGCUCAUUCAGAUUCCAGUCUACUUCACCUGUGCCACUUAGUGAGGAAAAAGCUUGAAUUUGUACACAGGAGAAAAACUUAAAUUUGUACACAGGAGAAAAUCUGCAUUCAUAUAAGCUGACUAAAAGUUCACUGUGAGGAAAUUUUCUGUGUUCUUUAUUGUAUAUUAUAAAUUUUUGAUUGGGUUAGAUCUAAUAAAUUGCAUCUGUGCAAACAAACAGUACAUACAUUCAGAUAAAAAGUGCAGAAUAUUCUCAGCGUUUCACUGGUGUGCAGUUAGGUGGCCCAUUAACACUUUUAUCAUGUGAGUGGCUGCCCCAUGGGAGCAUCAAAUGGUGAAAUCUGCAUUUUGGCCUAACAGGGCACUGAGUCACUCACCCAAAGAGAGAGCUGCAUAUUCCUCUCAACCACUCUUACACAUAUCUUUAAUAUCAGUCCUCUCCAUAGCACGCUCAUACUGUAUGUUAUGUUUUAUGAGUAAAACUUCCAGCCAUGGGAAUUUACAAUUAAAAUAAUCUUCACAUUUAGGGCAUUUCUGGUACUAGCUCUGACCCUCAUUAUCUUACUUCUGUUUAUGCCUCUUAGAUGUGAAACUGAAAUGGUUAGUUGUAUGUGGUAAAACAAGGAACAUCUAUUUCUAUUUUCAAAUGAUGAAACUUUCUGGUACUUUGGCUGGGACUGAACUUGAGGGUGGUAAAUUUUCAGCAUGGUAUGUAGGGAGUUAGCUACAUGUUACUCAUUAACAUUAAUUCCCAUCUGUAAAUAAUUUUGUAAUACUUUAACCAGCAGGGGAGCUAUUUCAUCUUUUAUACUUAGCUGAUUGUAAAAAUGUAUGCUGAAACCAUCUGGCCUUAGUGCUUUGUUGGACUUCAGGCUUUUAAUAGCCAGUCUGAUUUCCUUCGCUGAAUUGGGGUUUUCUAAUCCCUGGCUCAAUUCUCCGUCCAAACUAGGCAAUACUGUGUUGCUAUUUGUUUGUCAAUCAAUCCCUAUCUUACCAAUUGAGAUGAAUAACAGAGUUGUUAUAAAAACUUAGGAAGGCUUUGGGCCUAAUUCUCAUUCAUGCUAAAGUUACUUUACACUACUCCGGUUGCUCAUUUACUGAGUGUAAAUGCAAUUUACUGCCUGAGCAAUAUAAAGCGACUGUAACAUAAAUGAAAAUCAGGUCCCCUAUGUUCAGAGCAGCUAACAAGUUCAAAUUGCUGAGUACUAUUUUCCCACAGGAGCUAGUGUACUAGAAUUUCAAUGCAUAUAAAGAAUGCAACAAGCCAAUUAAAAAAUGAAGAUAUUAAACGAGAAAUUGAAUGGUUAUUUCUAAGCUCUGUUUAGAGACGGUUGAUCCAAACAAUGAGACUGACUUAGGCUGGCUGUUGCAAAUAUGCCAGCUUCAUCUAAAGUUCAGCCCUGUGUGGUGCUUGGAGAUUUGCCAUGGUACAUGGAACAGACCAUUCUUAUUACUUAAAGAAGGAGGACUACAUUUCAGAGGUGCAUGCAGGGCUUCCUGACUUACCUGAUAGCAUUUCCUUCCAAGGGACUGUCACUGAGAUUCAACAGUUGUUAACUACUGAUGCACAACAGUGUGUUUUGGUAAUGGUUGAAUGAGGAGAUAAUUGCAGAUAAUCUUGAGACUAUACCCACCACAAAUGCCAAAGCAGACACUGCUACCUCACUGCUUUUCCCAUUUAUGAAGUAAUGGUUUUUAUUGCCUAAAAUCUUUUAAAAAUGGAUCUGAGCCAAUGCUGGUCUAUAGGAAGGAAGAUAUUUGAUGGCAAGUAAGAGUGUGGAGUGGGCUAUUCCAGUUUAGACAGAGGUCAGUUAUUACCAUGCUCUCCUUAUACCUCUUACCCCUCUCUUACACCUGCAUAUGGAUAUCAGCAACUUCACUUUGAUGUGAAGUUCACAUUCCUGUCCCUCUCCUCCUUUUCUUUUGUUCUGCAGAAGAUACUUCAAUAAUCCACAUAGUAGUAAGGAGUUGUUCUAUUGUGGAAAUCACAGGCGCAAGAACACAAAUUUGUGGAUUGCUAAUACAUGAAUCCAUAUAUGUCAUAAUUGUCCUCUGUUCUGUUCACUACUUCAGACCUAUAAAUCUGUGCCUAUUCUUCUCUCACCAGCUGCUAGUCAGCUGAUUUUAAUCCUACCUUUACCUUGCUGAAGAGCACAGAGAAUGUAUUGAUAUAACAUCUUAUACAAUGAUUAAUAGCGUUCUGGGGCUGCUAAAUAACAGCCUGGUUGUCUAACGAGGGACUGUGUUAAGGUGUGCACACCACAGCCCAGACCAUUCCUUUGCUUCAGCAGCAUUCUCAGAUACCAUUCUGUCUUUGAAGUACUCCUCAUGAUGAGCAGCUCCUGAGGCUUGAUUCUGUGAAGGAAAACCCAUGUGGUUCCUGUCCUGAAGAAGCAGAUAUGUUCCUGUUGCACAAAUAAACAUCAACACUUUGUCCAUUUAAAAGUGACUUUUGUACUUUUCUAAGGAAGACCUGUGCCUAAAAUUACUUCUCUGAUUUUUAAAUGAAACAUAAAAUUCAGCCUAUUGCUCCUAUAAGUAGGCAAAAGGCUUUGUGCUUAUUGUUGCUAAUAAACAGAAACCUCUUAUUCUUUGACACUGAGCAUUGUGACUUACACCACUGUAAUCAAUAGUGGAAUAUUUUCCUAGUCCUCAGUUCAGAUAAAUCAGUGUAAGUACUAAAAUAUUUUUGAGAUGUUGUUCCUUCUAUCGUAACUUUACAUUUUGC